rnacentral:rRNA from 2 species
UCCAGGCAAAUCCGGAUAAUCAAGGCUGAGGUGUGAUGACGAGGCACUACGGUGCUGAAGUAACAAAUGCCCUGCUUCCAGGAAAAGCCUCUAAGCAUCAGGUAACAUCAAAUCGUACCCCAAACCGACACAGGUGGUCAGGUAGAGAAUACCAAGGCGCUUGAGAGAACUCGGGUGAAGGAACUAGGCAAAAUGGUGCCGUAACUUCGGGAGAAGGCACGCUGGUGUGUAGGUGAAGUCCCUGCGGAUGGAGCUGAGACCAGUCGAAGAUACCAGCUGGCUGCAACUGUUUAUUAAAAACACAGCACUGUGCAAACACGAAAGUGGACGUAUACGGUGUGACGCCUGCCCGGUGCCGGAAGGUUAAUUGAUGGGGUUAUCCGUAAGGAGAAGCUCUUGAUCGAAGCCCCGGUAAACGGCGGCCGUAACUAUAACGGUCCUAAGGUAGCGAAAUUCCUUGUCGGGUAAGUUCCGACCUGCACGAAUGGCGUAAUGAUGGCCAGGCUGUCUCCACCCGAGACUCAGUGAAAUUGAACUCGCUGUGAAGAUGCAGUGUACCCGCGGCAAGACGGAAAGACCCCGUGAACCUUUACUAUAGCUUGACACUGAACAUUGAGCCUUGAUGUGUAGGAUAGGUGGGAGGCUUUGAAGCGUGGACGCCAGUCUGCGUGGAGCCAACCUUGAAAUACCACCCUUUAAUGUUUGAUGUUCUAACGUUGGCCCCUGACCGGGGUUGCGGACAGUGUCUGGUGGGUAGUUUGACUGGGGCGGUCUCCUCCCAAAGCGUAACGGAGGAGCACGAAGGUUAGCUAAUCCUGGUCGGACAUCAGGAGGUUAGUGCAAUGGCAUAAGCUAGCUUGACUGCGAGCGUGACGGCGCGAGCAGGUGCGAAAGCAGGUCAUAGUGAUCCGGUGGUUCUGAAUGGAAGGGCCAUCGCUCAACGGAUAAAAGGUACUCCGGGGAUAACAGGCUGAUACCGCCCAAGAGUUCAUAUCGACGGCGGUGUUUGGCACCUCGAUGUCGGCUCAUCACAUCCUGGGGCUGAAGUAGGUCCCAAGGGUAUGGCUGUUCGCCAUUUAAAGUGGUACGCGAGCUGGGUUUAGAACGUCGUGAGACAGUUCGGUCCCUAUCUGCCGUGGGCGCUGGAGAAUUGAGGGGGGCUGCUCCUAGUACGAGAGGACCGGAGUGGACGCAUCACUGGUGUUCGGGUUGUCAUGCCAAUGGCACUGCCCGGUAGCUAAAUGCGGAAGAGAUAAGUGCUGAAAGCAUCUAAGCACGAAACUUGCCCCGAGAUGAGUUCUCCCUGAGACUUUAAGUCUCCUGAAGGAACGUUAAAGACGAUGACGUUGAUAGGCCGGGUGUGUAAGCGCAGCGAUGCGUUGAGCUAACCGGUACUAAUGAACCGUGAGGCUUAACCUUACAACGCCGAAG